UUUUUUGUUGUUUUUUUUUGCAGGAUCGACCUCGAUUCCUCUUAUCCGUUCACAAACCUCGGCAGCUUACUGGACAGCCCUCCAUAAGUGCACUGAUUCGAACUCAACAGUAUGAGUUAUCUCAAACCAGUCAAACAACUUGAUCAAGUCCACUGGAUGCCCUUCUUCUGCUUGGGACUUUGCCACCAUGUCAUCAACAUGGCAUUUGCUUUCACGAUGAGUCAUAUCAUGAAACGAAGUCAUCGUAGCCCUUUGAUCCGUGGCACCGGCCUUCUUCUUCACCUUAUAACAAGAAGGUACUCUUU
rnacentral:lncRNA from 1 species